rnacentral:rRNA from 1 species
UACGUAGGGGGCAAGCGUUGUCCGGAAUCAUUGGGCGUAAAGCGCGUGUAGGCGGCCAGAUAAGUCCGUUCUGAAAGCCCGGGGCUCAACCCCGGGAGGCGGAUGGAUACUGUUUGGCUCGAGUCCGGAAGAGGCGAGUGGAAUUCCCGGUGUAGCGGUGAAAUGCGCAGAUAUCGGGAAGAACACCCGUGGCGAAGGCGGCUCUCUGGGACGGUACUGACGCUGAGACGCGAAAGCGUGGGGAGCGAACAGG